rnacentral:tRNA from 1 species
GCCCAGAUGGUGAAAUCGGUAAACACAAGGGACUUAAAAUCCCUCGAUCAUUUACGAUCAUGCGGGUUCAAGUCCCGCUCUGGGUA